AAACAAAAAAAGACCGAAUACGAUUCCUAUAUUCGGUCCAGGGAAAUGGCUCUUGCGGGAGAGCCGUGCGCUAAAAGUUGGCAUUAAUGCAGGCGAUGUCGCCUUGCUCUUUAAAUGUAGCCGGGAUAUGUAUUUUUUCCAGCCA
rnacentral:sRNA from 1 species